ACGGCCAUACCAUGCUGAAUAUACCGGUUCUCGUUAGAUGACCGAAGUCAAGCAUCAUUGGGCGCUGUUAGUACUUGGGUAACCACCUGGGAACACCGCAUGCCGU